rnacentral:rRNA from 1 species
GACGAACGCUGGCGGCGUGCUUAACACAUGCAAGUCGAACGGAAAGACCCUGCUUUUGUGGGGUGCUCGAGUGGCGAACGGGGGAGUAACACGCGAGUAACCUGCCCUUGUCUUUGUGAUAACUUCACGUGACUCGGGCUAAAAUCGGAUAGGAUCUCCUGCUGCACGGUGGGCGUUGGAGAGUUACGGCGGUUUGGUAUGGACUCGCGGCUUAUCCGCUUCAUGGUGAGGUAGGGGCAUACCAAGGCUUUGACGGGUAGCCGGCCUGAGAGGGUGACCGGCCACAUGGGGACUGAGGUACGCCCCAGACUCCUACGGGCGGCAGCAGUGGGGAGUAUUACGCAGUGAGCGGAAGCCUGAUGCAGCAACGCCGCGUGCGGGAAGACGUGCUUCGGGUUGUAAACCGCUUUCGCCUGUAACGAAGCGUGAGUGACGGUAAUGGGUCAAGAAGCACCGGCUAACUACGUG